AGCUCCGUCCGUCUUGAUCAUGGCGUGCUGGCUGUAGGAUAUGGCACUGAUGGCAGUUCCGACUAUUGGCUCGUUAAGAACAGCUGGGGAGAGUCUUGGGGAAACAUGGGCUAUGUCGAAAUGGCAAGAAACAACAAGAACAUGUGCGGAAUCGCAACACAAGCCUCGUUCCCGACGGUGUAGAUAUGACGUUAUUUUGUCUCGUUAUAUUUAUGACAUCAUAUGCGAUGGGAGUGUUAUAUAUAAUUUGGUUUACAAAAGAAUUUGAAUUUAUGCUUGAUCCAAAUAUCUGUGAUAAAAUGUAAAUACAUUGUUAAAUAUGU